GCGGCAACAGCUCAAAUUUGAAAUCUGGCCUUUGGCCCGAGUUGUAAUUUGUAGAGGAUGCUUUUGGUGCGGUGCCUUCCGAGUUCCCUGGAACGGGACGCCUUAGAGGGUGAGAGCCCCGUACGGUUGGACGCCUAGCCUCUGUAAAGCUCCUUCGACGAGUCGAGUAGUUUGGGAAUGCUGCUCAAAAUGGGAGGUAAAUUUCUUCUAAAGCUAAAUACCGGCCAGAGACCGAUAGCGCACAAGUAGAGUGAUCGAAAGAUGAAAAGCACUUUGAAAAGAGGGUUAAAUAGCACGUGAAAUUGUUGAAAGGGAAGCGUUUAUGACCAGACUUUUUCCUAGUGGAUCAUCCGGUGUUCUCACCGGUGCACUUCGCUAGGAUGAGGCCAGCAUCGGUUUCCGUAGGGGGAUAAAAGCUUUAGGAAUGUGGCUCUUCGGAGUGUUAUAGCCUAUUGUAUAAUACCCUUGUGGGGACCGAGGUACGCGCUCUGCAAGGAUGCUGGCGUAAUGGUCAUCAACGACCCGUCUUGAAACACGGACCAAGGAGUCGAACAUUUGUGCGAGUGUUUGGGUGUUAAACCCUCACGCGUAAUGAAAGUGAACGGAGGUGAGAGCCAUUUGGUGCAUCAUCGACCGAUCCUGAUGUCUUCGGAUGGAUUUGAGUAAGAGCAUAACUGUUCGGACCCGAAAGAUGGUGAACUAUGCGUGGAUAGGGUGAAGCCAGAGGAAACUCUGGUGGAGGCUCGCAGCGGUUCUGACGUGCAAAUCGAUCGUCAAAUCUGCGCAUGGGGGCGAAAGACUAAUCGAACCAUCUAGUAGCUGGUAC
rnacentral:rRNA from 1 species